GUCCCAGUUCGGAUUGUAGUCUGCAACCCGACUACAUGAAGCCGGAAUCGCUAGUAAUCGCAGAUCAGCAUGCUGCGGUGAAUACGUUCCCGGGUCUUGUACACACCGCCCGUCACACCAUGGGAGCCGGGAAUGCCCGAAGUCGGUGACCCAACCGAAAGGAGGGAGCCGCCGAAGGCAGGUCUGGUAACUGGGGUGAAGUCGUAACAAGGUAAC
rnacentral:rRNA from 1 species